rnacentral:rRNA from 1 species
AACGAACGCUGGCGGCAGGCUUAACACAUGCAAGUCGAGCGCCCCGCAAGGGGAGCGGCAGACGGGUGAGUAACGCGUGGGAAUCUACCGUGCCCUACGGAAUAGCUCCGGGAAACUGGAAUUAAUACCGUAUACGCCCUUUGGGGGAAAGAUUUAUCGGGGUAUGAUGAGCCCGCGUUGGAUUAGCUAGUUGGUGGGGUAAAGGCCUACCAAGGCGACGAUCCAUAGCUGGUCUGAGAGGAUGAUCAGCCACAUUGGGACUGAGACACGGCCCAAACUCCUACGGGAGGCAGCAGUGGGGAAUAUUGUACAAUGGGCGCAAGCCUGAUCCAGCCAUGCCGCGUGAGUGAUGAAGGCCCUAGGGUUGUAAAGCUCUUUCACCGGUGAAGAUAAUGACGGUAACCGGAGAAGAAGCCCCGGCUAACUUCGUGCCAGCCGCCGCGGUAA